AUUUUUAUGACCUUUGAUCUUUCUUGCUCCUGCAGGGUUCUCUGCAAGUUCUUUGCUUAUGGGGCGUGUCUGAAAGGGGAGCAUUGUAAGUUUUAACAUGAUUGGAAGGAUCCUCCACAUAACAUUUGCACCUAUUAUCAGAAAGGACUUUGUGCAUAUGGUAGUCGUUGCAGAUAUGAACAUGUUAAAGCUUCUCGAGGCCAUUCUUCUGCUUCAUCUUCAUCAACAAAUGCACGCCAAAUGCAUGUCAAAGUUCCUGAAAGUUUUGGUCCAUUGAUUGCAAGCACUUCGAUUUUGGGAAUGGAAACCGCCCAUUUGGGAGUAGUUGAUUUUAUAAGGGUUCUCUGCAAGUUCUUUGCUCAUGGGGCGUGUCUGAAAGGGGAGCAUUGUGAGUUUUCACAUGAUUGGAAGGAUCCUCCACAUAACAUUUGCACCUAUUAUCAGAAAGGACUUUGUGCAUAUGGUAGUCGUUGCAGAUACGAACAUGUUAAAGCUUCUCGAGGCCAUUCUUCUGCUUCAUCUUCAUCAACAAAUGCACGCCAAUCUCUCUUUUCUGAUAUUGUUCCUCCGGGUAAUAGUACUAGAUCUGUAUUAGGUCGUAAGUUAUCAUACUUUGUUAGUCCAAGUGUCAUUUGGUAUUCUUCGAAGGAAGAGAAGCAGGACAUUGUUGAUAGCUACAAGGCAAAGCUCAAGUCCAUUGAUUGCAAGCACUUUGAUUUUGGGAAUGGAAACUGCCCAUUUGGGAGUAGUUGCUUUUAUAAGCAUGCAUAUCGAGAUGGCCGUCUAGAGGAGGUAGUUCUACGUCAUCUUGGGUCUGAAGAUGGAGAAACUGUGAUAGCUAAAAAUAUUAGGCUGUCAGAGUUCCUUGGUAACAUGCGUAUAAGGUGAACAGAUGCUGUUUUAUAGUCUAGAGAUAUCUAAUGAUAUGGAGAAAUCAUGCGCCACUUCAAUUGCUGAGUUCUUUUCAAAUGCCAGUGUGGCACUCCAGUUGUUUUUGAGAUUUUCUUGCUGGAGGGGACCAGAACAUGGAGUGUUGGGCAUGAUAUACUAUUUAUCAAGGUGCAUCUUCUAUCAAAGUAAUAAAAAUCGUCAUGCAUUCGAUGGGUAUGUUUGAGAGAGUUCUCAUCAGCUGUCUAUUUAUGGGAUAAUGAUUUUUAGUAAUGGACAUGCAAAUAGCCGUGCUGUUACCUAGCUGUAUGGUUCCCUCACCAACAAUGAUAUAUUUGGAACUGUUUACAUAAUUGUUUUUUCUGGCUUCCAUUCUUGUCAAUAUGGAGCUGUGAUGACAUGUUCUGGGCAACAUUGUCUGAGGUCUUUUGUAUUCUAAUCUGAAUUUUCCUGCUGUUUGAGGACAUUGCAUCUUGCGGGAUGUAAAUGGGGUUAAGAGCUCCCUAAAAUCAAUAGCGUUUACAGACACUUA